UACGAAGGGGGCUAGCGUUGCUCGGAAUCACUGGGCGUAAAGCGCACGUAGGCGGGUUGUUAAGUCGGGGGUGAAAUCCUGGAGCUCAACUCCAGAACUGCCUUUGAUACUGAAGAUCUUGAGUUCGGGAGAGGUGAGUGGAACUGCGAGUGUAGAGGUGAAAUUCGUAGAUAUUCGCAAGAACACCAGUGGCGAAGGCGGCUCACUGGCCCGAUACUGACGCUGAGGCACGAAAGCGUGGGGAGCAAACAGG
rnacentral:rRNA from 1 species